rnacentral:rRNA from 1 species
UCCACGCCGUAAACGAUGUCAACUAGUCGUUGGACCCCUUGAGGGUUUAGUGACGCAGCUAACGCAUUAAGUUGACCGCCUGGGGAGUACGGUCGCAAGACUAAAACUCAAAGGAAUUGACGGGGGCCCGCACAAGCGGUGGAGCAUGUGGUUUAAUUCGAUGCAACGCGAAGAACCUUACCAUCCCUUGACAUCCGGAGAAUUUGCAAGAGAUUGCUUAGUGCCUUCGGGAA